CCAGCUUGGACGCUCAGACUCCCGCUGACUCGGACUCUGUUCCUGACCUCCAAAGAAGAAAGACGCAUCAUCCCGCAGGGAAUCUCUAAAGGAAGAAGAGAAGCCAAGGAGCUCUGCUGAGGCCAGGCCUGGCCCUCCCUGCCUCUGGUCUGCCUCUGGUACUGCCUGAAAGGAGCACCCAAAGCCCCAGGACUGGCGUCUCAAAGAGCUGUAAUGCCAGAGCCCAGACCUUCAGACUGUUGCUGUGGCUGCUGCAGCGUCAUCUCAGCAGGUCCUGCCUGUGAGCGUCUCCACUGCGGCUUGACCUUCCAUGGCUCCACAUUGUGUAUGGAACCACUGCACCAUCCGGGGACUCUCCUGGAAACCCAGGACCAGCCAAAAGGAAACUCUCUAUUUCCUGGGCCUGUCUCCAGCUUUCUUCUCUUGGACUGUCUCAUCCCACCAUAUUCUCAGUCCAUGAUGUCUCCCACCAAGUCUCCACUCAUUAAGAGCCUCCUCCGAUGGACAGACAGAUAAACAAGCUGGAAUUUGAUUCAGAGCAAGAUGAAGUUUUAAGGAAGGCAGUACCUUUCUCCUCGUCCAGGGGCUGGAUUUCAUCCAAAAUGAGUAGACCAAUGGAGACUUAUCACCUAACCCUGCAAUCAGCCAGACCUCCUGCCAGGCCUUACUGACAGUACACCUGGGACAAAGACUUUCCCUAAGUAUUUUAUUUUAUUUUAUUUUUAGGA